UACUAGAGUAGCACUCGCAUAUCAAUAAGCGGAGGAAAAGAAACUAACAAGGAUUCCCCUAGUAACGGCGAGUGAAGCGGGAAGAGCUCAAAUUUGAAAUCUUAAAGGGUUUCCCUUUACGAAUUGUAGUUUAAAGAAGUGUUUUCUGUUGAGGUUUUGGUAAAAGUUCUUUGGAAUAGGACAUCAUAGAGGGUGAGAAUCCCGUAUUUGACCUUUACUUUCAACUUUGUGAUACACUUUCAAAGAGUCGGAUUGUUUGGGAAUGCAGUCCAAAAUGGGUGGUAAAUUUCAUCUAAAGCUAAAUAUUGGCGAGAGACCGAUAGCGAACAAGUACCGUGAGGGAAAGAUGAAAAGAACUUUGAAAAGAGAGUUAAACAGUACGUGAAAUUGUCAAAAGGGAAGCGUUUGACACCAGUGUUGUUUUUCUGAAAAUCAAUUAAAGAACUGUUUAUGCUAAGUUGUUUAGACUUUAUCAGCUAUCUGUUUAGUUUUGAGCCUUUCUUUAAUGCACUUUUCAGUUAACAAGUCAACAUCAAUUUCUUUUGCUGUAAAAAAGCUUGAGGAAGGUGGCUUGAGAUUCGUCUUAAGUGUUUAUAGCCUCUUGCCUAUGCAGUCGGAGAGAUUGAGGUCUGCAGCGUAGAUCCUUCGGGGCUAAAUGCAUCUGUGCUAAGUUAUAGCAUUUUAUAGACAACUUGUUGACUAUGAUUUGUCUUGUAGCUUACUCGCUUAUGUUAUUCUACCUACGCUUAGGAUGUUGAGCGCAUGUCUCUCUCU
rnacentral:rRNA from 1 species